rnacentral:rRNA from 1 species
UACGUAGGGGGCAAGCGUUGUCCGGAAUCAUUGGGCGUAAAGCGCGUGUAGGCGGCUUGGUAAGUCCGCUCUGAAAGCCCGGGGCUCAACCCCGGGAGGCGGGUGGAUACUGCUGGGCUCGAGUCCGGAAGAGGAGUGUGGAAUUCCUGGUGUAGCGGUGAAAUGCGCAGAUAUCAGGAGGAACACCUGUGGCGAAAGCGGCUCACUGGACCACAACUGACGCUGAGGCGCGAAAGCUAGGGGAGCAAACAGG